UACGGAGUUACAAAGGACGACAUUAGACGAAUCAUCUGGAAAGAUGAAUCAAAGAAGGUAAUAAUCCUGUAGUCGAAAAUGUUGUCUCUCUUGAGUGGAUCCUGAGUACGACGGAGCACGUGAAAUUCCGUCGGAAUCUGGGAGGACCAUCUCCUAAGGCUAAAUACUCUCUAGUGACCGAUAGUGAACCAGUACCGUGAGGGAAAGGUGAAAAGCACCCCGGAAGGGGAGUGAAAUAGAACCUGAAACCGUGUGCUUACAAGUAGUCAGAGCCCGUUAAUGGGUGAUGGCGUGCCUUUUGUAGAAUGAACCGGCGAGUUACGAUUUGAUGCAAGGUUAAGCAGUAAAUGUGGAGCCGUAGCGAAAGCGAGUCUGAAUAGGGCGUUUAGUAUUUGGUCGUAGACCCGAAACCAGGUGAUCUACCCUUGGUCAGGUUGAAGUUCAGGUAACACUGAAUGGAGGACCGAACCGACUUACGUUGAAAAGUGAGCGGAUGAACUGAGGGUAGCGGAGAAAUUCCAAUCGAACCUGGAGAUAGCUGGUUCUCUCCGAAAUAGCUUUAGGGCUAGCCUCAAGUGAUGAUUAUUGGAGGUAGAGCACUGUUUGGACGAGGGGCCCCUCUCGGGUUACCGAAUUCAGACAAACUCCGAAUGCCAAUUAAUUUAACUUGGGAGUCAGAACAUGGGUGAUAAGGUCCGUGUUCGAAAGGGAAACAGCCCAGACCACCAGCUAAGGUCCCAAAAUAUAUGUUAAGUGGAAAAGGAUGUGGCGUUGCCCAGACAACUAGGAUGUUGGCUUAGAAGCAGCCAUCAUUUAAAGAGUGCGUAAUAGCUCACUAGUCGAGUGACACUGCGCCGAAAAUGUACCGGGGCUAAACAUAUUACCGAAGCUGUGGAUUGUCCUUUGGACAAUGGUAGGAGAGCGUUCUAAGGGCGUUGAAGCAUGAUCGUAAGGACAUGUGGAGCGCUUAGAAGUGAGAAUGCCGGUGUGAGUAGCGAAAGACGGGUGAGAAUCCCGUCCACCGAUUGACUAAGGUUUCCAGAGGAAGGCUCGUCCGCUCUGGGUUAGUCGGGUCCUAAGCUGAGGCCGACAGGCGUAGGCGAUGGAUAACAGGUUGAUAUUCCUGUACCACCUAUAAUCGUUUUAAUCGAUGGGGGGACGCAGUAGGAUAGGCGAAGCGUGCGAUUGGAUUGCACGUCUAAGCAGUAAGGCUGAGUAUUAGGCAAAUCCGGUACUCGUUAAGGCUGAGCUGUGAUGGGGAGAAGACAUUGUGUCUUCGAGUCGUUGAUUUCACACUGCCGAGAAAAGCCUCUAGAUAGAAAAUAGGUGCCCGUACCGCAAACCGACACAGGUAGUCAAGAUGAGAAUUCUAAGGUGAGCGAGCGAACUCUCGUUAAGGAACUCGGCAAAAUGACCCCGUAACUUCGGGAGAAGGGGUGCUCUUUAGGGUUAACGCCCAGAAGAGCCGCAGUGAAUAGGCCCAAGCGACUGUUUAUCAAAAACACAGGUCUCUGCUAAACCGUAAGGUGAUGUAUAGGGGCUGACGCCUGCCCGGUGCUGGAAGGUUAAGAGGAGUGGUUAGCUUCUGCGAAGCUACGAAUCGAAGCCCCAGUAAACGGCGGCCGUAACUAUAACGGUCCUAAGGUAGCGAAAUUCCUUGUCGGGUAAGUUCCGACCCGCACGAAAGGCGUAACGAUUUGGGCACUGUCUCAACGAGAGACUCGGUGAAAUCAUAGUACCUGUGAAGAUGCAGGUUACCCGCGACAGGACGGAAAGACCCCGUGGAGCUUUACUGUAGCCUGAUAUUGAAAUUCGGCACAGCUUGUACAGGAUAGGUAGGAGCCUUUGAAACGUGAGCGCUAGCUUACGUGGAGGCGCUGGUGGGAUACUACCCUAGCUGUGUUGGCUUUCUAACCCGCACCACUUAUCGUGGUGGGAGACAGUGUCAGGCGGGCAGUUUGACUGGGGCGGUCGCCUCCUAAAAGGUAACGGAGGCGCUCAAAGGUUCCCUCAGAAUGGUUGGAAAUCAUUCAUAGAGUGUAAAGGCAUAAGGGAGCUUGACUGCGAGACCUACAAGUCGAGCAGGGUCGAAAGACGGACUUAGUGAUCCGGUGGUUCCGCAUGGAAGGGCCAUCGCUCAACGGAUAAAAGCUACCCCGGGGAUAACAGGCUUAUCUCCCCCAAGAGUUCACAUCGACGGGGAGGUUUGGCACCUCGAUGUCGGCUCAUCGCAUCCUGGGGCUGUAGUCGGUCCCAAGGGUUGGGCUGUUCGCCCAUUAAAGCGGUACGCGAGCUGGGUUCAGAACGUCGUGAGACAGUUCGGUCCCUAUCCGUCGUGGGCGUAGGAAAUUUGAGAGGAGCUGUCCUUAGUACGAGAGGACCGGGAUGGACAUACCUCUGGUGUACCAGUUGUCGUGCCAACGGCAUAGCUGGGUAGCUAUGUGUGGACGGGAUAAGUGCUGAAAGCAUCUAAGCAUGAAGCCCCCCUCAAGAUG
rnacentral:rRNA from 1 species